GAGCAUGCGCUCUGCCCCCUGAGCUGUCGUUUGCUCGGCAGUAACCGAGGUGGGUGUCGCCGGCGGCGCAUCGGCGCUCGCCAUGGAGUCCUACGAUGUGAUCGCGAAUCAGCCGGUGGUGAUUGAUAACGGUUCUGGCAUGAUUAAAGCUGGCUUUGCAGGUGAUCAAAUACCUAAGUACUGUUUUCCAAACUAUGUUGGCAGACCAAAGCAUGUCCGAGUUAUGGCUGGAGCUUUGGAAGGUGACAUUUUCAUUGGCCCAAAAGCAGAGGAACAUAGAGGUCUUCUUUCUAUACGGUACCCAAUGGAACAUGGCAUAGUGAAGGAUUGGAAUGAUAUGGAGCGCAUUUGGCAGUACGUGUAUUCAAAAGAUCAACUCCAGACAUUUUCUGAAGAACAUCCUGUGCUCUUGACGGAAGCGCCACUGAAUCCUCGUAAGAACCGUGAACGAGCAGCUGAGGUUUUCUUUGAGACUUUCAAUGUGCCAGCUCUAUUCAUCUCUAUGCAAGCUGUGCUUAGUCUUUAUGCAACAGGACGAACUACAGGGGUGGUGUUGGACUCUGGGGAUGGGGUCACCCAUGCAGUACCUAUUUAUGAAGGUUUUGCAAUGCCCCACUCCAUUAUGCGAAUUGACAUAGCUGGCCGUGAUGUCUCUCGUUUUCUUCGCCUCUAUCUCCGAAAGGAAGGCUAUGACUUCCAUACAUCAUCUGAAUUUGAGAUCGUCAAAACCAUAAAAGAGCGGGCUUGCUAUCUGUCAAUUAACCCUCAGAAGGAUGAAACUUUAGAAACUGAAAAAGCUCAAUAUUACCUUCCUGAUGGAAGCACCAUUGAGAUUGGUCCUGCUCGAUUCAGGGCUCCUGAAUUACUGUUCCGUCCAGAUCUGAUUGGAGAAGAAUGUGAGGGAUUGCAUGAAGUUCUGGUUUUUGCAAUUCAGAAGUCUGAUAUGGACUUAAGGCGAACUCUCUUUUCCAAUAUUGUGCUCUCUGGAGGCUCCACGCUCUUCAAAGGUUUUGGUGAUAGGCUUCUAAGUGAAGUAAAGAAACUGGCCCCUAAAGAUGUCAAAAUCAGGAUAUCUGCUCCUCAAGAGAGAUUAUAUUCUACAUGGAUUGGAGGCUCCAUCCUGGCUUCACUUGACACAUUUAAGAAAAUGUGGGUUUCCAAGAAAGAAUAUGAAGAAGACAGUUCUUGGGCAAUCCACCGAAAAACCUUCUAACCCUGGCAAGUUCAGGGAUCUCUUUAGAUAUUUGUUCUUAUUCUUAAAUCUCUUUUCUGAAUCUCCAAGGAGUUGUCUGUGUAUGCAUGAAUGGAUAGAUGGGUGCCAGCACACCCUGGACUUUCACAGAGCCAAAGGGAAAGCUGGGUUUUGACUUGACUUCCAAUUGGUUGUGUGGGUUUGAGACUUAAUCCACUGGAAAAAUCCAUUUCCCCCCCUUUUUCUUUUCCUAGGUGACCCACAAACCUCUAAGGGGGAAGGAAGGAAACCCUAUGAUGUCUCAGAAGAAACUUUGGGUAAUACAAAAGUGAAUAAUAAGAUAGAAAUAGAAAAUGUCAACUAACAUUGGAUCAAAUUUAGAUAGGCUGACCAGAUGGAAAUUGAGCACAGAAAAUUAUUCAAGUGCUCAGCAGAUAUUUUUUAGAUGGUUAAUUCAGAGCUUUCCUUCCACUCCACUUUUUUCCCUGACAUAUGCAGAAAAGAGAAUAAGCACAUUCUUAACUAUUACAACUCCAUUUACUGCUUUGUACAUGUAUGUAUAUUCUUAGGCUGGUGCGUGUGAAUCAGAAUCACGAUAUGAUAGUUGGAGCAGUUAAUUUUAGGAACUAGUUUAUAAUGCAUGACAUAGAUCAGAAAGAGCCUUCCUUUGUUCUUUUUUAGACAGUUGAUUUUGGCAGCCUGAAAUAAAGCAACUGACAUUUAACUAACGAAAGGUGAUUCCGGAAUGUGUUUGAUGACCCAUUCUAUUGCUCCUCUGCCCACCUUCUCUCUUUUCCCAAACAUGUAGGUUCUAAAUGUUAAUAUUGAUUCUUCUUGAAAUGCAAAGACAUAGUGCCUAUGUCACAACUUCUGCCCAAGGGAUCUUCAACCAAGCUUGGUGGGGAGCCAUGCAAUUGUUUUUCAGACUUGUUUUAUUUAUUGAGAAGUUUUGGUGGUUGCUGAACUAGCAUUACUAAAAUUAGUUCCACCAUUUUCUGUGUCCUAUUAUAUUGUAUUUGCUCAUAGUUUAAUACUAGCACUAAUGUUUUAACAAAAUAUUUGUUAAAUACUAUGAGGUCUGUUUGGCGACCCUGCUGUAUUAUUUUUGGAUUUGUUGCUUCAGUGAAUGCACCCCAUGAGAAAAAAAUGAAUUGUAUUAGAAUGUUUGAAUUUAAUAGUAAUCUCCAGAAGGUUGGCAUUCUAAAAUGUCAGCCCCUGAUUUUACAUGAUACAGAAAUGAAAAUUAAUCUGCUUUGAAUUCAUUUUUGUUUUUAUUUUUUUAUAUAUAUUUUGGUGCUUUUUUUUUUUUACUUUGCUGCUGAAAACCAAAUAUUUUUGCAUUUUUGUCCAUUUAAGUAUUUGAAGAGUAGGCAUCAGGAAAAGAAGCCUUACAUCUACCAAUAGCCAAAUAUUGGAAGAGAACCGUAGUCAGAAGUAAAUAUUAAAUAACUUGUACUAGCCCAGAGGAGAAAUACAUAGUGUUUGCUAUUAGUAUAUUAUAAAUGUGGUCCUGUUGUGCUUUUGGUUGAAAGCCUGUUUUCCUUCUUAGGUUAUUAGCAUUCUCAGAAAAAUUGCACAGGAAUUAAGUAGGCAAACUUAUAAGAGGAAGAUCCUUACUGGCUGAAUGGAUGGAGGAAACUAUAGCUUCUCUUGCCAGCAGGCUGAUUAGAAAUGCAUAUAAUACUUAUAGUCUUGUGCAUUAUUCAGCCAUCCUUUCGUGUUAAAAAUAGGGUAAGAUCUGAGGAUACAGUUCUCCCUGAGUAAGUUUUGCUUUGUCCCCUUUUAGUGUAAGAGAAGAUAUAUUUUCAAAAGAGUCUUUAAUUGUAAUUGACUUAUAAGGGAGGAAAACAAACAUAUCUGAAUUCAGCAAUUCUCAAAGUGUACAUAAAUAGUUGUGUAGUACUGGAAUAUGUAGAGUUCUUUGUAGCCAUUUCUUCUGUUACAAAGAAAGGAUUUUGGGGGUAGAGCGAUAAUGUUCUUUUAAUUAAUAACAUUCAAAUUUCACCAUUAUGUCCUUAUCUUCAGUAAUGAAAAUCUAUGCUGUGACAAGAAUGAGUCUAAAAGACUCUGCCCAUUUAAUAAUCCUCUAAGACUAAAGAAUAGCAUAAGGUAUUUUCUAGUUUCGCAGUAUAUUGAGAAUAAUAGUUAAAACACUAAAAAAUAAAAUGACUAUACACUACAUUUUGCAAGGUUCUUCUAAAAUGCUGCUACAAAUGAUCUCCUGUGUGUUUAUUUCCUGAUAUUAUUUAUAGUUUUCUUACCUUGGAUGUAUCCUAAGCAUCUAAGGUGACAUUGGUAGGAGAUCAUAUCCUCGUUACAAAAUAACAGUCUCCCAAUUCAUUCAUUGUUUUAAUUAAACCUUCAUGAACAAGUCAUUUAGUUUGUGAUUGGAAUGGAAAUGAAAUUUCUGCUUGCUUGAUUCAAAAGUUCAUUGCAUGCCUAAGCAAGAUCUUGAGAAGUUGCUCCACUUUUAUUUUAACUCUUUGCUUUCAGAGCAGAGGCUAAAGCAAGUUCAUUGUUGUGUUGAUCAAGGCUUGAGUUGUAGAUCUGUUUUUUCUAUACAAGUAUACUUUUUCCUGUUGGCUCUAAAUGUGUUCAGAUACGGUAGAAGCCUGGGGUACUGAGAUUAGACAAAGUUUAGAAAAGUAAAGAAUUAAAUGCAGGUUUAGAGGCAGUAGACUAGUUAUUAAAAAUAUUGAGUAUUGUAUUAGCUUUUCUUUUGACAAGAUUUAUGUACAGGGUAACCUGGUAUUUCUCAUGGAAGACCACAGGACUGGUUUUUCACUGCAGGAAAGGGCACCUAGCCCGUAUUUCUUACCUUGCACUAUGGUAAUGUCACAUUUUAUUUUAGUUGUAAAGCAUUUGAAAUGUAUGUCCAGUGCAGGUUAUUACUUUGGAGGCCUUGAGUCUUGCUUGAGUUACUUGAAAAAACAGAAAAUGUUAGUAUUAAUGAAAUUUGUACUGUAAUUGCAGUAAUGAAGGGAGAGUUGGAAAUAAUAAGGGCUACAGCUUGUACUGGUAUGAAGGAUGGCAAACCAUUACUGUAAUUUAUUUUAGUUCAUGUUUAUGGCUGUAUGUAUGUGGAACUAGUAUUCCUAUGUAUAAACAAUCCUUAAUUACCCCCUUCCUUUCUUUUAAUUCAUGGCAAUUUGUUUUGACAUCAGAAGCAGUAAACUUGUAUGCUAAACAACAAACCCAGCACUGGUUUUAUUAGUCUGAUGCUAUACUUCACACAGAUGUGCAAAUCACUGUGGAGUAUUACCUACUGUACGUAAAUAAAAUUAUUAAUACACAGUGUGGUUAUUUGCUUGGAGAAACUGUUUGAUUCAAUUAAUGUGAGUGAUCUUAUUUUUAUUUGAGACUUAGACACAAAGCCCACUUGAUUAUCUUGGGCCAAUCGCUUUCUCUCAGCCCUAUGAAGGAGGCAGUGGCAAACCAUUUCUGGGGGAAAAAUAUUGCCAAGAAAGUUGUAGAGAAUUGGGCACAAUUAAACAGAAGAAAAAAUAUUGUUUGAGGAGUUGAUGUCCUCUUUGGAAGUAAUUCUGUUUGGCUAGCAGGGAGGUCGGCAACCCACAGCUCUGGAGCUGCAUGUGGCUCUUUCAGCCCUCUUCUGCGGCUCCCAAUGCUGCUGCUGUUGCUGCCUCCAUGGCCUGCCCACUGCUGUUGCAGUGCCUUGCAUAGCACAAUGAAAUUUAGCACAUGUCACAAUGAGGGAGACAGGAUCCCCCUCCACUUCCUAGAGCCCAUUACGAUGCAGACCCACAAUGAGAUUCCCCCAUUCGCCUCAAGCGACAGCAGCGGAGCCAUUGGCUUGCUCUCGCCUCCUGGAUGUCAGUUGCUUUUCCUGCAGAGCCUGCAGGCUGCCUAAUGCCCCGCCUCCCCACCAGCCAGCUGGUCUUCAGCUCUCCGCUGACCAGGUGCUCAUUGGCGUGCUGCUCAUAGGCUGGUUGGCCUGUGGAUGUCAGAUUCCCACCACCCAGCACCUGUUCCUCUCCCCCCCCUCCCCCCCCCCGAAAUGGCAAAGCUGUGCGGGGUUUGACAGCGGUGCGGGUGAGGCCAGUAUCUUGGGGCGGAGAGAUGGUCACAUGUCUCCAGCAUCAACAAAGGCUGGAAGUAGCUGCCCACCGUUUCCUGCUGUAGUCUGUCCAGCAGCAAGACCCAGAGAGAAAGAAGGGGAAAAGGAGAGAGAGAGGAAAGGGAAAAAGAGAGGGGAGAGACCAGAGAAGGGAAAAAGGAGAUAGGAGAGAGAGAGAAAGAGAGAAAGAGACAGAGACAGAGAAAGGAGAGAGAGACAGAAAGAAAGUGGAGACAGAAGGAGAUGGAAGAAAAAAAGGAGAGGAGAAAGAGACAGAAGGAGAGCGACAGGAGGGGGGGAGGGAGAGGGGGGUGAACAACACACCAGGUGUGGCAAGAGAGGUGGCUGGGAGGAAAAGUGUGAGGCAGGGCCAGGCGGGGCCAAUAAUUUAACUGGUUCUCUGCCCUAAUGACUGGCUGGAUAGGUGUGGCUGGAGUGUGUGUCAUUUGGCUGGGUGGGAGUGAGUGACGUUGAGUUGGCAAUGCCCACGCAGUCACACUGGUUGUGAAAUUAUUGGCUCCCAGUGUUUUCUGUGGGAAACGGGUCCAAAUGGCUCUUUGACUGUUUAAGGUUGCAGACACCUGGUAGCAGAUGGAGCCAAAUCUUAAUCUUCUAUCUCACUCGUGGCGUUCCUUAAGACAACUAGGAUUCUUACAUACUAGACAAGCUUUUGUCAGUUUAAAAUAUUCCAGUGAGUUGGAGGAACACUUCCAGGUUAUGCAGCUAGGCUAGCCUAAUAUAAUUUGUAUUUUUGUUAUUGCUGAUAUUUUAAAGUUAUAUUUUGAUUAGUUGCUUGAUUGAGCCUUCUGCCACCACUCGUCUUGGAACACCACAGUUGGCAUCCACCUUCUGACCCUAGCAAGAGAGUGCUCACAUUCCUGGUGUUGGUUUUCUGGCAAAGUAAGAGUCAAAAUGCAAAAAGUGAAAAUACAACAGCACCACUGCAUGGCCAUGCACUAUAAAUGUGUGUGGUGACCAAAGGAUUCAGCUAUUCCUUUUCCUUAGUGAUAAACUCAAAUUGAACCUACUGAAGGAAGAUGCAGUGUAAACCUUUGCCUAUCUGAUUAAAUGUCUGCAUCGCUUUCUAUUCUGGGCAUGUGGAUUGUGCCUCUGUGCCUAUAGUUUGGCAUGCAGGCUAAAUCCAGAAAAGAAAUCAAGAGGAGAUUCCAUUAGAAUAGUUUUCCCUUCUUUCUUCUACAGAAAGGAAGGGUAAAAAUCCUCACGGGGGAUACACAAAGUCUAUGAUGUAGAAAGACAGUCGAUUUUCUCCCUCUGGCGUUCAAAGUUUGCUGUGAUGUUGAUUUGGGGAAAGGAUGCUGCCUACCAAUAGUCCUUAAUGCCCUGGAAAACAGAUCAGACCAGAACUGUAGGAAAUAGAGAAGACGGUCUCACAUUUCCUAGCAGGUCAUGCAGUCAUCGACAGUGGGAAGAUGCUGCUCACUGUUAUCUUCACUCUCAAUUAAAUAGUCUUGAUUUCUCGAGAGUGAUUCUCUGUAAAAGCUUGACGUUGAGAUUUCACCGUCUGAAGGCGUCUGCCGUGCAAGCUGAAUUGUGACCAGAUUGACUACUGUAGCUAUUCAGAAAAAGAUCCAUAAAAGAAACAUCGAAGAAGCAUGUGGGAAAAGGCUCUACUUGCAACCCCCACAGCUCCCUCCAAAAUUUAUCAUCAUAAAGUGUAAAAGUUCAUUUGUACAAUUUUUAAUAUUUCUUUGCAAUUAAAAUAUGAAAAAACAAACUUUGGAAUAUCAUUACCACUGAGGUGAGAUUGUUCUAUAUCCUAUUGUCCACCCGAAGGUGCUGAAAACCUGGUUUUGCCAUUAGGCCUUGGGAAAUACAGUGUUUCCCCAAAAAUAAGACCCUGUCUUAUAUUUUUUUGAACCCUGAAAUAAGCACUUUGCCUUAUUGCCAUGUGCUCAAAAGCCUGAUUGGGCCUAUUAUCAGGGGAUGUCUUAUUUUGGGGGAAACAGGGUAGAAACCUGCAAAAUGGCUGUAUUGUGUGUAAGAUUUUGACUGCACUCCUCAGUGUUUUCUAAUUCUACCUUUUAAUUGUCCUAAUUGUUUUUUGCUUUUGCUGUUUUAAUAAUGUGAACCAUCCAGAGUCAUGUAUGUGUGAUGGGCAGCUUUAUAAAUUCAAUCAAUUAAUAAAAAAGCAGGUUUGAUAAAUUUCUCUAGGACAUAAAACAUCUGUUUCUUUUCACCUUCUUCCCC